UACGUAGGGUGCAAGCGUUGUUCGGAAUUAUUGGGCGUAAAGCGUGUGUAGGCGGACCUACAAGUCAGGUGUGAAAUCCCACGGCUUAACUGUGGAAUUGCGCUUGAAACUGUAAGUCUAGAGGACGGUAGAGGCGUGUGGAAUUCCGGGUGUAGUGGUGAAAUGCGUAGAGAUCCGGAGGAACACCAGUGGCGAAGGCGACACGCUGGGCCGUACCUGACGCUAAAGCGCGACAGCAUGGGGAGCAAACGGG
rnacentral:rRNA from 1 species